rnacentral:rRNA from 1 species
GUAACGCGUGAGCAACCUUUCCCAGACAGGGGAAUAACACACCGAAAGGUGUACUAAUACCGCAUAAGACCACGGGAUCACAUGGUUCUGGGGUAAAAGAUUUAUCGGUUUGGGGUGGGCUCGCGUCCGAUUAGGUAGUUGGUGAGGUAACGGCCCACCAAGCCGACGAUCGGUAGCCGACCUGAGAGGGUGAUCGGCCACAUUGGGACUGAGACACGGCCCAAACUCCUACGGGAGGCAGCAGUGGGGAAUAUUGGGCAAUGGAGGAAACUCUGACCCAGCAACGCCGCGUGGAGGAAGAAGGUUUUCGGAUCGUAAACUCCUGUCCUUGGAGACGAGUAGAAGACGGUAUCCAAGGAGGAAGCCCCGGCUAACUACGUGCCAGCAGCCGCGGUAAUACGUAGGGGGCAAGCGUUGUCCGGAAUAAUUGGGCGUAAAGGGCGCGUAGGCGGCUCGGUAAGUCUGGAGUGAAAGUCCUGCUUUUAAGGUGGGAAUUGCUUUGGAUACUGUCGGGCUUGAGUGCAGGAGAGGUUAGUGGAAUUCCCAGUGUAGCGGUGAAAUGCGUAGAGAUUGGGAGGAACACCAGUGGCGA